rnacentral:misc_RNA from 1 species
CGCAAAGGCCGGUUUAUAUCUGGGUAAUCACAUUUGAAUAAUUCAGUAUAAAAUUUUGUUGUGUUUAUAUUAUUGGUUUUUAUAUAUUAUCGAUGGUAAUGUUGAAUAUGGUUAUGUGAUUUAUUAAAAAUACAUUGCUUUUUACAAUCAGAAAAUAGUAUUAUAUUAUCUGAAAGUAAUUUUAACAUGGCCCAUGAUCUGAACCAUGCUUCACAUGGAUAAGUUUUGGAAUUAUCUUAAUUUAUUUUUUUUGGAGAUAAGAAUUAUCUUAAUAUUUAGAAAUGAUCCAAAUGGGUCUUUAGUUGGGUGUAUAUAUCACUUGACUUGCCAUGCAUGUUGCCAUUGCUUUGUGUUCAUUUGUUUUUGAAGGAUUUAAUUCUACUGAAUGGAAGACAUGUCUAUCUCAUAAUGCCAUUAAUGUUUGGAAAUCAAUAAUUGAAAUCAUUGAAAAUGAUAUUACAUGCUUAAAUUUGUUUGUAUUUCAUUAUUCAAUUCUGCUUAACUUAUUGAAUGGAUUCACUGUUGGUUUAUAUUCCUUUAAAUGGAAUACCUGCAACGAGAUCAUAAGCGCAUGGACAAUAUAAUUCCAAGAGAUGAAGAGUUCAUUAUGAGAAUCAUCAUUUUGUAGCUCAUUGCUCAGCGAGCAAAAUGAUUUCAAGCAGUCAUCAUCUCAGCAGAGGAGCUCUCAUGAUUCAAACAUUAUGUUCAAUUAUGUGAUGCAAUGGCUGUAGGAAUUAGCAAUAAGAAAUCUGGUCUGGAAGAAAACAUUUAUUGCAGUCAAAUAUCCAUGUGAAUCAGGACUUGCUCCUAAUGGGAACAGUACUAGCAACCAGUAGAAAUGUAUUUUUAUUUCUUUAUGUUUUGCACAAAGAAAGAGUUUCCAUGCAUUUUCUGCAAAAAAAUACUGCAUUAUAGGAACCAAAUAAUAAAUUAUGUGGUUCAUGAGUGCUUUGCGUUAAAUACAGUAUCAUCUACUGAAAUGAGGUCACCAGUCUUUUAAAUUUUAAAAUACUAUGAAAUUCAACACGUCAAAAAUUAUGUUUUAGUUGGAAAUUUAAAAUACAUUAUCGCUUAUUUUGACAAUAAGUAGUUUUUCAAUGUUGGGCAUAGAAAUUGAAAAUUGAAUGUGCUGCAAAUUUUAACUUUUUUUUUUUUGA